GAGUUGGACGGGUCACCUCACAGACAAACACAACAGCAGCCAGAAACUGUUAGACUGAUACUCAAGACUUAGAAAACCUGCAUGUCCAUGAACCGCACUGAGGAGACUGUCAUCAGGCCCCCCAUCAUCCAUACACUCUGAAACAUGUCUGCAGUCAUUCCUGAUCAUUUAACCAGUAGAAAUUUAAUGUAGCUCAUGUCAUGGUCGAGGUCUGGGUGUUGCUGUGCAGACUGGUAGGAAGGACAAUGAUUUAUAACCUUAUAAGGUCGUCAGGGGCGACGGUCUGCAGUCACAAUGGCUGGAAUGUGCCUCCUGCCAGCACAGCGACAACAGCUUGGAUGGUCAAACACACACACACCCCUUCUGACGUCAGCAACACCUGAUAGAUGUGUGUGUGUGUGUGUGUGUGUGUGUGUGUGUGUGUGUGUGUGUGUGUGUGUGUGUGUGUGUAAGAGUGACACAUGUAUCUUAACACCUCUGGUAGUUUUCCAUCUCACUCAGGUUCUCAGUGCCUGUUUCACAUCUUUGAAUGUGUCAUCUGGGAAUCAUUGUUCAGAGAAAUGAAAUAAAGCUCCUGUUGAAACCUGCUUGGCCCAAAUAAGAGCUUUACAGUACCCGAAGAAACUUAGGUGUGGUAUCAGGAAGAUUAAAGUCUUAGUUCCUGGUCCAAACAGGAACAAGGGACUGUCAUAUUCAAAGCAGUUGGAGAUUUUCAGAGAUGGUAAUUUGAUGUACCAUCCAAGUAAAGUAGAAAUAAAAUGUACCAAAAUUCCCUCUCUGGUGUCAUUUCUAUGGAAAUGCAUAAGAAACUGUUCUGAUGGCUGGAAAUGAAAGACAUGCCUUCUGCCUGUCCUUCUUUUAUCAUUUUUAAAAAUGACCCACUGAAACUUUCCUGGAGAUCAAACGCACUAAAAAGUGGAAAAAAAGUUCCUCUCUGGAUAAUCAAUCAUAUAAAAUGUGGGAAACUCACCCUUGAAUGCUUUACCAGUAAAUGAAUGCUAUGAACUGCCCCACAGAUAGACUUUGAAUGUAUAAAACGUGGAAAACUACCCUCUAGAUGACCUUUUUGUAUACAUACAAAAGUGAGAAGGUGCCUCAUCAGUAUGAAAACUGGGAAAUGUUUCCUCUUGGUACCUUUCCAGUAAGAUCUUCAUGAAGACUCCAAAAUCAGGCAACUGGACUGUGUAGAGUAUUUAUAUUAUUUAUCCCUAAAGAAUCAAAAUAUGAUAUAUUAUAAUGAUUCCUGUGUUUUACUGAAACCUGGUUAAAUCAAAACAACUCUGACUCCAGUGUGGAUCUACCUGGCUUCACUCUCAUAAGGUCAGACGGAGACGCUCAAGCUAGUGGCAAGAAGAAAGGAGGAGGUCUGGCUUUAUUUGUCAACCAGAGAUGGUGUAACCCUGUAACACACAAUUGUCAAGGAGAAGUUGUGUUGUCCAGUUAUUGAACUGUUGGCAGUUGCUCUUUGGCCAUAUUAUGUUCCAAGAGAAUUUGGUCAUAUCAUAACAAUAGUUGUUUACAUUCCACCUAAAUCAAAUGAAGAAAUUCUGUGUGAUGUUUUGCAAAAUAGUGUUGCCAGGCUACAGUCUCAACACCCUGAGGCACUAAUAAUAAUAUCGGGAGACUUCAACCAUGUCACCCUCUCCUCUUACCUGACUGGAUUCACACAGUUUGUGAACUGUCCUACCAGAGAAAACAAGACCCUGGAUCUGCUGUAUGCCAACGUCAAAGAAGCCUACAAAGCUUCUGAGGCAGCCUGUGACCAAAGUCAAAAUCAGAAGACGGACAACUCAAGCCAGUGAAGCUCUAAGGGACUGUUUUAAAUCAACAGACUGGAAUGUGCUGCUGGAAACAGAUGUGGAUAGUAUGAACAUUGAUAAAAAGGUUGACUGCUUUACUGAGUAUGUCAAUUUCUGCAGAGACACAGUUAUAACCACAAAGACUGUUCACUGUUUUCUAUGGAGCCAGAUCAGGCUCAAAAGUAUUGACUGUUUACCAGAAGUAGUGUAAGUGAAAAAAUAAAAAGUGAAGUGGAAAAAUAAGAUUUGAACCUGAAAGAAUAAAAUGGUACCUGAAAGUCUUGAAUUUCGAAAUUGAACUUUGAAAAAUCCCAGAAUGCAUGAAAAAAAUCUGUUCAAAUGUAACUUUGAUUCUGUUUUUUAAUACUUUGGAAUAAAUUACUUAUUUCUAUUUUUCACUUCAAUAUAUAUUUCGAUCUUGUAGUACUUUUUUUUUUUGAUUGAAUUUUAUUUAUUUAUUUCAGAUUCAGGUCUUAUUUUUACAGAUUCAAAACGGUUUUUUUCGGUUUCAGAUUAUUAUUUUUCAGAUUCAGAUCUUUUUUCGGAUUCAACUUGAAAAGUUUCAGGUCCACUUGCAAAUUGGAAUAAUGGAAAAAAUGUGAUGGAAUGGAAUGGAAAGACACUGUGAUAUUUGAAUAAAUGUUUUAUACCAUAUUUUGAAUUAAUUUAGACCUUUUGUGCAUUUAUUUUUGUCUUGUUACAUUUUUUUCCAUUAUUCCAAUUUUGGGGGCCAUGGUAGCAAUUUGAUUGACUUUCAGCCAUUUAUGGCCAUGAUGUGCUGUUUACAUUUUAUUGCUUUUAUUAUACAGUAGAUUGUGUCAUUUUUAUGUAUGAAACAUAAGCUUUUAGCUAAAUUUACUGUAUAUAUUACAUUGUGCUGGGUGCAAAUCACUUGAGUUGAGACAUUUUUUUCAAGAAAUUUGCUACAUUUCAUAAUCUGAAUUCACUUAUGCGUAUACUAAGGCACCAAUAACUGUUUCAGAUGUUAGGUAGAUGUAUUUAUGACAUUUGAGAAAGAUUUUGUCUUGCCAGAAUCAACAUAGCAGUUUCUACAAGCAAAAACAGCAGCACCAUAUAAUUGUUUUUGGGUUACUCACAUAUAUGUACAUUUCUGGCUGGUGACAAAACUCUGACAGAUAGUCUGAGUUGAUAUUUUAACCCAAAGUCCAGAAGGGUAUUGUCCAUGAAAAAUGCAUUGAACGAGUAGCACCAGCGUAGUUGAACGAAAUUUAGUUUCUAGGCACUUUUUCCUUUGUCCCAAUACAGCCUAUGACCUUGAGCGAAGUUUCUUUCGCGGAGUUUCAGAUGCCGUGGACGUGGAUGCAUCGGCGAUGCUGCCUGAAGGGUUUGACUGACCCACGGCUGCAUCACGUUCUUGUUUCUCAAACGCCUUUUGCAAAUAAAUCGCUGGUAGCAUGUCAUGUGAAACCCAGCGUCAUCAGGAACAUUGUCAAAGUUGAUAUCAACGCAAUGUUUAUAAGUUUCUGCAAGGUCUUUUGUCUCACCCUGUAGAGAAAGCCACUUUCCAAUACUAGUUCUGUAAGUUUCCCAACGUGUCCUUGUAAAGUCGAGAACGUCUUCACUCCUGACAGAUUAUAGAUGCAUAUAGCAUAGUUUCGUUCAUUUUUUAUGCACUUUUGAAGGCUCUUUUCUAUUUUUACUUUUCUUUUCUUCCUCUUUACUCGUCUGGCUGCUAGAUGCGCUCGUUGCCAUGUCUGUGUAUUUCUGAUACUAUGGCAACGAGACUCGGCUCCUAUGGGUCCACGUGACAAAAAUCGCUUCACCCCCUGCAUAUUCGAUUGCGCGUGUACAAGUAUCACUAUACCACAGAAAGGAAAUAGUUCGACACCGAAACACUGAUUACUAAAAAUCGACUGGAUGACAUGAGUAGAGAUUUUUUUUAGUACUUAGUAUCAAUAGAGCUUUUUUAUGAAUCACAGUUUAUGUUGCACAACUAAAGUGGAACGAACCAACACGAUCUCAUUCAGCCAAUACAGCCUAAUUGUAGGCUAAGCUAAAGUGUAUUCAUGCCACUUCCUGAACGCAGGGUGAGACCGCACUCAUGGCAGACCGCGCCCCUCUCAGUCGACGCCCGCCCCCACGGAAAAACAGGGUCAAAAGUGAACCUGAAACUUUUCAAGUUGAAUCCGAAAAAAGAAGAUCUGAAUCUGAAAAAUAAUAAUCUGAAACCGGAAAAAAACAUUUUGAAUCCGUAAAAAUAAGAUCUGAAUCUGAAAUAAAUAAAUAAAAUUCAAUCGAAAAAAAAAAAGUACUCCAAGAUCGAAAUAUAUAUUGAAGUGAAAAAUAGAAAUAAGUAAUUUAUUCCAAAGUAUUAAAUCAGAAUCAAAGUUACAUUUGAACAGAUUUUUUUCAUGCAUUCUGGGACUUUCAGGUACCAUUUUAUUUUUUCAGGUUCAAAUCUUAUUUUUCCACUUCACUUUUUAUUUUUUCACUUACACUUCUUCUGGUAAACAAUCAAUACUUUUGAGCCUGAUCUGGCUCCAUAGUUUCCCCAA